UACGUAGGGGGGCAAGCGUUGUCCGGAUUCAUUGGGCGUAAAGAGCGUGUAGGCGGCCAGGUAGGUCCGUUUGUGAAAACUCGAGGCUCAACCUCGAGACGUCGAUGGAAACCAUCUGGCUAGAGUCCGGAAGAGGAGAGUGGAAUUCCUGGUGUAGCGGUGAAAUGCGCAGAUAUCAGGAAGAACACCUAUGGCGAAGGCGGAUCUCUGGGCCUUACCUGACGCUGAGGCGCGAAAGCUAGGGGAGCGAACAGG
rnacentral:rRNA from 1 species